UACGGAGGGUGCGAGCGUUAAUCGGAAUUACUGGGCGUAAAGGGCACGCAGGCGGGCUUUUAAGUGAGAUGUGAAAUCCCAGGGCUUAACCUGGGAAUAGCAUUUGAGACUGGGAGUCUUGAGUAGUUUAGAGGGGGGUAGAAUUCCAGGUGUAGCGGUGAAAUGCGUAGAGAUGUGGAGGAAUACCGAAGGCGAAGGCAGCCCACUGGGAAAGUACUGACGCUGAUGUGCGAAAGCGUGGGGAGCAAACAGG
rnacentral:rRNA from 1 species